GUGAACGCUGGCGGUAGGCCUAACACAUGCAAGUCGAACGGCAGCACCGUAAGAGCUUGCUCUUACGGGUGGCGAGUGGCGGACGGGUGAGGAAUACAUCGGAAUCUACUUUUUCGUGGGGGAUAACGUAGGGAAACUUACGCUAAUACCGCAUACGACCUACGGGUGAAAGCAGGGGAUCUUCGGACCUUGCGCGAUUGAAUGAGCCGAUGUCGGAUUAGCUAGUUGGCGGGGUAAAGGCCCACCAAGGCGACGAUCCGUAGCUGGUCUGAGAGGAUGAUCAGCCACACUGGAACUGAGACACGGUCCAGACUCCUACGGGAGGCAGCAGUGGGGAAUAUUGGACAAUGGGCGCAAGCCUGAUCCAGCCAUACCGCGUGGGUGAAGAAGGCCUUCGGGUUGUAAAGCCCUUUUGUUGGGAAAGAGAAGCAGCAGGUUAAUACCCCGCUGUUCUGACGGUACCCAAAGAAUAAGCACCGGCUAACUUCGUG
rnacentral:rRNA from 1 species